rnacentral:rRNA from 1 species
AUACGUAGGUGGCAAGCGUUGUCCGGAUUUACUGGGUGUAAAGGGCGUGUAGGCGGAGAUGCAAGUCAGGAGUGAAAUCUAGGGGCUCAACCCCUAAACUGCUUUUGAAACUGUAUCCCUUGAGUAUCGGAGAGGCAGGCGGAAUUCCUAGUGUAGCGGUGAAAUGCGUAGAUAUUAGGAGGAACACCAGUGGCGAAGGCGGCCUGCUGGACGACAACUGACGCUGAGGCGCGAAAGCGUGGGGAGCAAACAGGAUUAGAUGCCCUGGUAGUCCACGCUGUAAACGAUGAAUACUAGGUGUGGGGGGACUGACCCCCUCCGUGCCGCAGUUAACACAAUAAGUAUUCCACCUGGGGAGUACGAUCGCAAGAUUGAAACUUAAAGGAAUUGACGGG